rnacentral:misc_RNA from 1 species
UUCAACUAGACAAAAACCAAUUGACUGGUCAUUUACCCCAAACCAUUUGCCAAAAUAAAAAGCUUCAGAACUUCACCGUAAACUACAAUCGUCUUGAUGGCCCAAUUCCUAAAAGCUUUAAAGAUUGCAAAAGCUUUGUUAGAGUUCGGCUGGAGCAAAACCAAUUCACGGGAAAUAUAUCCGAAGAUUUUGGCAUUUAUCCUCUGCUUCAAUUUAUUGAUCUAAGCUACAAUAAUUUCAGCGGGGAAAUAUCAUCUAACUGGGGAAAGUGUCCAAAUUUGACAACGCUGCUGAUGGCAGGCAACAAAGUUAGUGGUACUAUUCCACCUGAAAUUGGAAAUGCAGCUCAGCUACAAGCACUUGAUCUUUCUUCUAAUAAAUUAGCUGGGAGUAUUCCUAAGGAAUUUGGAAGGUUGACUUCUUUGUUGAAGGUUUUUUUAAAAGACAAUCAGCUUUCUGAAGGUAUACCUUCAGAAUUUGGGUCGUUAGGUGAUCUUGAGUAUCUUGACCUGUCAGCAAACAGAUUGAGCCGAUCAAUUCCUGAAAACAUUGGAAACUUAGUUAAACUCAUCUACUUGAAUUUGAGCAGCAAUGAGUUCAGCCAACAAAUUCCAAUUCAGUUGGGGAAGUUAACUCACUUGUCGAAUUUGGAUUUGAGCAGAAACUUUCUCAAAGGAGAGAUACCAUCACAAUUGAGCAGUUUACAGAGCUUGGAGACGCUGAAUCUCUCCCACAAUAAUUUGUCUGGUUCUAUUCCAGAUAGUUUUGAAGAGAUGCAUGGUUUAGUGUUCGUCGAUAUAUCCUACAACGAAUUGGAAGGUCCCAUUCCUUCCAACAAA